UACGUAGGGGGCAAGCGUUGCCCGGAAUCAUUGGGCGUAAAGCGCGUGUAGGCGGUCCGAUAAGUCGGUUGUGAAAGUCCAGGGCUCAACCCUGGGAUGCCGACCGAUACUGUCGGACUAGAGUUCGGAAGAGGCGAGUGGAAUUCCCGGUGUAGCGGUGAAAUGCGCAGAUAUCGGGAGGAACACCAAUGGCGAAGGCAGCUCGCUGGGACGUUCCUGACGCUGAGGAGCGAAAGCGUGGGUAGCGAACAGG
rnacentral:rRNA from 1 species